CCUCGGCCGGGCCCGGAGCCGGUGGCGGCCACCGGGACCCUCCCCAGGUGCGGACGGAGGAUCGCCUUCCCCGCCCCGCCCUUCCCCGCCAAGGGAUGGGGAGCGGCCGAGGGGCAGGACACCCCCUCCAUUGUACGCCUGAGAUCAAUGGAAAAACUGAAGCACGUCAGGGAAAGAUAUGGCAGAAGGAUUCCCCCCACGGUAGGUCCCUGCCCCAGGCCCGUGAGCAGCAGUACAGGAGGGGGCAGGCACCCCACUCCUCCAGCACUCCUGCCUUCGACCCUGCUCCCCCCGAGGGCCGAGGGACUGCCCCCGGCACCACUGCUGGGCUCCGCUGGUGAUGCUCUGGCAGUUAUAACUCCAGCCUCAGCGCUCCCUGUGCACACCUAGAUCACUAGGGUGAGUAAAUAGCACUGUGCCAUACAUCAGAAAGCACGAAAUGUAACACAUUGCUGCUUCAGCUGCUGCUCUCAGUUUUAGCUCAGUCCUUUGCCCUCCUUUCUAUUCCAGAAAGGUUAUUUUACUUGGGCUUUUAAAGAAGGAUUCUUUUUUCCCCAAAAUAAAUCUUUCCUGACAAUUUUGACCUUUUACAGCACAAAAUAAUAAAAAAAAAACCCAACCAAAAACCAACCACAAACCUACGAUGAAUGUACCUUCCAAACCAAUAAAUGUUACAAAAUUAAAUUGUCAUAAGAACAGCAAGGUAGAAAUGAUUGCAGCCAUGAACAAAGAUAAAAGGCCUAUCCUUGCUGCAUUUGUUGUAGUUGAAAUGCAGAUCUGGAAGCCUCUUGUUUCACCUUACAUGGACUUAAGAGUAAAAUGUAAGACCAGUUUUUAUGGUGAAAUUCAGCAGCAACCGCCUUAUUCAGGCCCCAGAUACCAUCCCAAAUGCCCACUUUCAUCACUGGACCCAGGAAGAAAAGACCCAAAAGAAAGGUUACACUAGGACCUAUGACAGCAUCCCUGAAGAAGGGAAACAGACGGGUAUCUAAGCAGAAAGCGAGGUCCAAAUUGCCCUUGAGCAGCUGGGAACUGUAUUGCUGAACACCACAUCCCCCUUCUGCAAGGCUCUGAAUGCCCACAAAACAUACAGCUGCAGGCACUGUUAUCGCUAGUACAUCUUAGUCCAUAGAGAAAACAGUCAUCAUGAUCAAAACACAGCAACAACAAAAAAACAAGAAGAAAAAGUGCUCAAAUCAGCUUCUCAGGAAUUUUCUUGUGCCUCUGCAGGUAUUUCCAACAGACUCUUGUUUUGUGCAUUCUGCCACCAAAUGCCUAACAUUUAUCUAGCAAAUUCUUUCCCAUGAAAUCAUCCUGCUGUCCCCAUCCGUCUAUCCCUGAUCUUCAGCAUCCGUGCGUAUUUCAGACAACCCAGAUUAAUUGGCACAUCAGCACGAUUCCUUCCUCUGCUCCUGAACCACUCACUUGAGAUUUACAGCUUGUGAAGUCAGGCGGACACUUGGCUUAGGUCUCUGUCACGGCUAUUUUGGGUUCAGUGGCUAAAAUUUACCGAAGGGUAUCCACAAUUCAGCUGCCAAUUUUACUCUACAUCAAAAAGUGUUGCCUGGACUUUGUCCUGACAAUUGAUUGCAUCCGCAUAGUCCUACAAGGAGGGCCUUACUGAAUGUACUUUUUUUUUUUUUUUUUUUUUUGAGUGUAUGGCAUUCUCUUCCUCAGAAUGAGUCAUGCAACAGAAAAUUUGAUCUGUUCUGUCAUUAGAAGUUCCGUGGCAUUUUAUACAAGAGUAAGAUCACAUCACGGCAUCUCUGAAUUUUAGGAAAUUGCAUUAGAACUAGCUCAAUAUCAACUGUUUAACCAGAGGAGCUUGGUAAUCUCAUUUUUCUGAGUGCAUUUUGACCAUUCUGCAUUCUUUUUUGGAUCCUGGGAACAGACCAGCAAUAAACACAAUGGUUUCUCUGAACGGCUUGUCCUGCCAUGUGCUCUGCCUUACGUAGUUAUGCAUCAUGAGAAGGUAGAAUUUAAUCAAUCAACCCUGCAUCUUGCAUGCUAACUUAAAAGUAAAGCUUCAAAGAAAUGUUACUUAAUUUCACCUAAGACAGAUGGCAUGGGGUGGGUGGGGGAACUUCACUGCAGCAAACAGAGGCAAAAGGACUCCAGCCCACUGUGUUGUGGGGCCAUGCCCAGCUAGAAGACCAUCAUCCCUAAAGUUAACGGAGAAAGAAAAGCCAGACAACUUGACUUCAGGAGAUGGCAAGGUCUGGCGUGGGGCUUGGUGUUGUUGCACUUGUGCCCAUCGCCGAGACAGCGACAGCACAGGUAGGGCGAUGGUGACGAGAACCACCACCAUUCAUGGACCGUGGUGUCCCGGUGAGACCUGCCUCCCACCACACGUGCCCAACUCACGUGAGAGGAUGAAACAAUGCUGGUGGUGGCAGACCCAUCCCAGCAGGAAUGCGCAGCAGCAGCAGCAGGCAGCACAUCUGGCUGCCAUGGCUCCUUCUCUAAACACAAAAAUAGUUUGCAGUUUGUGCAGUUCACUUCAGCUCCAGCUCUCUCCUCCUCUAAUUGGUGUCACCAGAGACCAGUACUGCUUAAAAACAAAGUGGGGUUGUGUCAAUAUUGAUUAUCCCUCCCCCUCGCCCCCCAUCCAUUUCCAGUGGCAACUAAGAAUAAUUUUGAAUUCAUUACAGACACGGCCUUUCUUGCAGAAUAAGUGCCAUUGUCACAUUUAGAAUUCAGUCCAUAUCUGACUGGAAUAUCUGCAUUUAUUCAUAUGUAAUGAGAAGGAGGAGGUUUUCUUACCUCAGAAAAAGCUCAUCUACCAUCACAGAUAUAGAUUCUUUUAAAUUCUUUUAAUUUUAAAAUACUUGAACUCUGCUUGCGUCCAACAUUAGACUUGUUAUUUUGUACUCAUUUUGCACACUUGAAAGAUCAAACAUAUUUGUAUGCAAAUACUUUUGGCCUCCCUAAAUUUAGUAUGUAAUAAAUGGCUCAAAUUUCAUUACCAAAGCUGUAAGGGGAGGGGAAAAUUUAAAUUUGUAAAGAAGAGUAAGGGCUUUGCAGUUUGUAACUACAGUCCUUUAAAUGCAUGGAUGUCAAGGCAAGCGCCUGGUGGACAUAUCCUGUGCCGCAAUGAGAUGAAGUCUGCUCAGCACCAGCCUGACCCACACGCCUACCUGAAGGUUUGCUACCCAUUCUGUAGGGACAUUUCAAGAACAGAUUUAACUAAGAAUAAAACAAAACCCACAACCCAAACCCUGACUUCUACCCAAUACUUACAUGUUCAGGAUUUCAUUCUGCCUGCACGUGGAAAAAAAAUGAACUAGGAAGAGGAGCCUUCGGGCAAGAUGUGAACACUGCCUCUGGGACACACUCACACGUCCACCUUCACCAGGUGGCCAUACGGGCAGCCUCGUGCGUUCCCGUGCCGUGCCGGGGGCUCACUGGCCAUCCCGUGCCAUGGCAGAGCCAUGCAGGCACCUCGCCCUGCACUGCAGCCUGCCCGCAGGAGCCACCUGGCUGCCCAGCUGCUUGUGGCAAACUAAAAUUGGUGCUGGCUUGCCAUGGACAACCCCACAGCGGCUCAGCCUUCCCGCACCAGGGCUGGGUCACCUUGGCUCAGCCGUGCCUGCUUGCCAGUCCUGCCCCCGGGCUCUGUCACUCCUGGAAGCACCUCCUGUUUUCUCCGGUGACCCGGAGGUCUCGCUGUCCCUACCUCCCUACCCAAUGACCUACGCUGACUAUAGGACGCCUCAAUCUUGGGAUACCUGGGGUGCACCAGAGCGCGCAGACCCUCUGCUGGUGGCAGGUGACUGGGACCCACCGGCCCAGCUGGGGCAAGAGGAGGAGAGAAGCUGCUGGAAGGCACCUGGAAAAGCAGCAGAUGGAUCGACAAGGAGAGUUCACCGUUACGCUUGUUCCAGCACAGCCUCCAGUUUGAGUACCACAAACAGGAAUAGCAAAACACCAACAGAUUAAGGAAUAGAUGUCUUCUCAUAUAACCACCAAACUAUUUUUAUCUCCAGGCCUCUCCCACAUACGUACUCACAUAUUUUCUUCCAUGGAGUUUCAAGGCUUUUCACAAGCCUGUGACAUCUGCUUACCAACAUUUGGUGCAAAAAUAUCAAUAUCUGCUCUGCCUAGCUGUUCCGAGUGCUACAUUUACCAGCCAGUAAAGAUCAAGAGCCUCCUGGGAGCUGGCUGGAUCAAACUGUCAUGAUUUCAGCACUGCUUUGCGUCAGACGGCAGAAUUUAAAGUCAAAACACAGAUAGUUUAGGGAGGAAGACAAUGCGAAGCCCUGAGUCAUCCCCUGCUGAGGGUGAGAACAGAUUAAUAGACAGCAAACAUGAAUGAAACCAACGGCUCAUUUUAGUCAUGCGGCUGCUUCUGAAACCCAAAAAUAGGAUUUAUUUUUAAUCGUUGAGCAUGAAAAGAGGAUUUCUUUGCACCUUGCCAAGAAGAAGUUGAGAAAACAGUUUUAAUUAGCGUGGGGCAGGCUCCCCUUUCCUUGGCACCCAGCGGAGCUCAGCCGUGGGGCUCGCUGUGUUCAGGGAAGUUUUGCUGCUCACAAGCUGCUUUAAGGAUGAAAGAUCUUGCCCACAAGAUUUUGCACAACCCAGCAACUUUUAGCGUCAUCCGGAUGCAGAAGAUGAAGUCCGUACUUCAGCCCCAGCCAACUCUCCUUUGCCAAAGCUGAGUCAAAAGAAAUGAUGAUGGUUUAUAACAAGGUCGUACCUUUUCGAGGAGCUGCACCGCACCCCACUGCUGGCUCACGGGGGAAGGAGAAAAAGCGACAGUGGUUUGGCACUUGGAUAAACUGCACAGGUUCCCCCAAAAUCAUUGGAGAUUACUUAACCAAACCUCUGAGCCCUUCAGAGCAGCUGUGGCAACGAGCAGCAGAGAGCAAAACUGGUUUACCCCUGUUUUCCUGGGUGAGGUGCCGCCUCCCAUGUCAAGCUCCUUGGCUCGUGUGAGGGUCUGACCUGGGGUAUGGGCCACCUUGGUCAUCUGGGUCAGCCAACCUUCAGGGAUGUUUUCUUGUGAGAGAACACAAAGGUUUGACAUGGGAGUGAAAAAAGUUGGCACAACAGUGAUGCGUACACACAUUUCUGUGAUUUUUCAUUUAAAAUAAACAGAAACGAUCUCACA